AACCGACCUUUUCCGGAAUCGACUUUUGUUUUAUCACCGGAAAUGAUUUUGAAAUUUGAAUUUCGAAACGAAGACAGGAUAUCAACAAAGAGAGCCAAGAAAAUUGUUUGUUACGCGAUAUAUACUCACUUGGAGCUAAAAGAAAAGCCACAAAGGACAAGUUCAAUAUGCAGGUUUACAAUUUGGAAGUGGCGCAGGUUCUUUGGAAUGUCUACAACCUUUCAGGAGAAUUUUUUUUUGAAAAGCAUGGCACAGCAAGAAAAAGAUAUAAGACACUACAAGACAUUCCAAGUGAUUUUGAAUAAGACAAUUGAUUGACUUUUUCAAUGUAUUCUUAAAUAAAUCAAAUAGUUGAUGUAAAA